rnacentral:rRNA from 1 species
GCCCCGGUUAACGGGAGGAAGGUGGGGAUGACGUCAAGUCCUCAUGGCCCUUUAUGCCCAGGGCUACACACGUGCUACGAAUGGGCGGUACAAAGGGUAGCGAUGCCGCGAGGUGAGCCAAUCUCAAAAAGCUGUUCGUAGUUCGGAUUGGAGUCUGCAACUCGACUUCAUGAAGGCGGAAUCGCUAGUAACCGCGAAUCAGCAGGUCGCGGUGAAUACGUUCCCGGGCCGUU